CUGAAAUAUUUAUUCCGUCAACCCCCUCUCCCAUCCUCUGUGGAUUUUACUCAGAGCCAGGGAAGUUCUGGGUUUCUUUGCAUUAACAAAGUUAUGAUGUUUUGUGGAAUGAAAAAUGGAGCAAUUCGAGUCUAUGUCCUAAAUCAAAAUGAUCCUUCAUUGACCAGUUUGGUGGACUACUGGCACUUCAAUAUGCAUGACAAUAAUUAUGGAUGUAUUAAAAGUAUUGCUAAUAGCUUUGAUGAUCGUUUCUUGGUGACUGCUGGAGCAG
rnacentral:lncRNA from 1 species